rnacentral:rRNA from 1 species
AUUGAACGCUGGCGGCAGGCCUAACACAUGCAAGUCGAACGAGUGGCGGACGGGUGAGUACUGUCUGGGAAACUGCCUGAUGGAGGGGGAUCACUACUGGAAACGGUAGCUAAUACCGCAUACCAUCGGAUGUGCCCAGAUGGGAUGAGCUAGUAGGGGGGGUACAGGCUCACCUAGGCGACGAUCCCUCGCUGGUCUGAGAGGAUGACCAGCAACACUGUAACUGAGAAACGGGCAAGACGCCUACGGGAGGCAGCAGUGGGGAAUAGUGCACAAGGGGCGCAAGACGGAUGCAGCCAUGCCGCGGGUAUGAAGAAGGCCUUCGGGUUGUAAAGUACUUGCAGCGGGGAGGCGUUACCCGCAGAAGAAGAACCGGCUAACUCCGUGACAGCAGCCGCGGUAAUAC